UACGUAGGCAGCAAGCGUUGUUCGGACUUACUGGGCGUAAAGGGUGCGUAGGCGGCUUUUUAAGUUUGGUGUGAAAUCUCCCGGCUCAACUGGGAGGGUGCGCCGAAUACUGAGAAGCUAGAGUGUGGGAGAGGAAAGUGGAAUUCCUGGUGUAGCGGUGAAAUGCGUAGAUAUCAGGAGGAACACCGGUGGUGUAAACGGCUUUCUGGACCAUAACUGACGCUGAGGCACGAAAGCGUGGGUAGCAAACAGG
rnacentral:rRNA from 1 species